CAUGAUGUCUUUGUCACUUAAAUUACUUCUAGUCAGUCCCAUAUGAUCAUUCUCGCCUUUGCUCUAUCCUGAGAAGAUAUCAGCUGAUAACCAUCGGUGUAGACUUAAGUUAACCAAGUUCGAAACCAUGAAGAGAUAUUUGGGUGUCCUCUUGUUAUUCCUGGUUUGCCUGCAAGCUUCACAACAGGUUUUUGGAGCCAAAAUUAAGAGAUCUUCUGGUGCCGUAGCUGCGGAAGAAUGCCCUGUAUCAGAUUUACCAGAAAUGUGUGAUUUGGAGAAUCCUUGCGAUGAAAUUCCAUCCCCAUGCGGAAAAAUGGAAUGCUAUCCGUGUCCCGGUUGUGAGAGUUACACCUGUAUUCCAUUAAAAUCGUAAUCUAAGAAACGGUGAAGAGAGUUCCAAGGCAGAGAUGUCCAUAAAAUUCCGCGUGUUAUUUAAGCAAAUUGAAUUGAAUUAAAGCAGAGCUGUUUUGACAGCCAAUUUUGAGCAGCCUAUGUA